rnacentral:tRNA from 1 species
ACCGUUUAUCCAUAACUACCUGUUGAAUAUCAUUGAGCUCGGUACCAUCUUGAUGCUGGUAUUACUGGUUUCAGGCUGGUUGGUGUAUCGCGG